rnacentral:lncRNA from 1 species
CCGAACAAGUAUCAAAGGCGCAACCAUGUCUCGCGGUUCAGUAUCGAUCGAUGUCCGAGAUGGAAUGUCGAUCGAUUUCGGGUGAAGGGUAUCGGUCGACGGAAGGUUUGUGUUGUCGAUCGACAGGGGUGAGCGAGAAUCGGUCGACGGGACUGGUGUCUGGGUCGACGGUGGUUGAGCGGAAUCGAGCGACACGGAAGUGUUGUUGUCGGUCGAUAGGGAGCGCG